AUUGAACGCUGGCGGCAUGCUUUACACAUGCAAGUCGAACGGCAGCGCGGGCUUCGGCCUGGCGGCGAGUGGCGAACGGGUGAGUAAUCCAUCGGAACGUGCCCAGUAGUGGGGGAUAGCUCGGCGAAAGCCGGAUUAAUACCGCAUACGACCUGAGGGUGAAAGCGGGGGACCUUCGGACCUCGCGCUUUUGGAGCGGCCGAUGGCAGAUUCGCUAGUUGGUGGGGUAAAGGCCUACCAAGGCGGCGAUCUGUAGCUGGUCUGAGAGGACGACCAGCCACACUGGGACUGAGACACGGCCCAGACUCCUACGGGAGGCAGCAGUGGGGAAUUUUGGACAAUGGGCGAAAGCCUGAUCCAGCAAUGCCGCGUGUGUGAUGAAGGCCUUCGGGUUGUAAAGCACUUUUGGCGGGAACGAAAAGGACUGUGCCAAUACCACGGUUCGAUGACGGUACCCGCAGAAUAAGCACCGGCUAACUACGUG
rnacentral:rRNA from 1 species